ACAGAGGCGGCGAGCGUUGUUCGGAUUUACUGGGCGUAAAGGGUGCGUAGGCGGUUCUGUGUGUCGGGUGUGAAAUGUCACAGCUUAACUGUGGAAUUGCAUUCGAAACUACAAGGCUUGAGUAUAGGAGAGGAGAGCGGAAUUCUUGGUGUAGCGGUGAAAUGCGUAGAUAUCAAGAGGAACACCGGUGGCGAAGGCGGCUCUCUGGACUUAUACUGACGCUGAGGCACGAAAGCUUGGGGAGCAAACAG
rnacentral:rRNA from 1 species